rnacentral:rRNA from 1 species
UACGUAGGGGGCUAGCGUUGUCCGGAAUCAUUGGGCGUAAAGCGCGUGUAGGCGGUCCGGUAAGUCCGCUGUGAAAGUCGGGGGCUCAACCCUCGGAUGCCGGUGGAUACUGUCGGGCUUGAGUACGGAAGAGGCGAGUGGAAUUCCUGGUGUAGCGGUGAAAUGCGCAGAUAUCAGGAGGAACACCGGUGGCGAAGGCGCCACUCUGGGCCGGUACUGACGCUGAGGAGCGAAAGCGUGGGGAGCGAACAGG